rnacentral:tRNA from 1 species
GCGGGAGUAGCUCAGUUGGUAGAGCGCAACCUUGCCAAGGUUGAGGUCGCGAGUUCGAGCCUCGUUUCCCGCUCCA